GGAUAAAGCCUUGGGAAACUUGGGUCUAAUACCCGGAUAGGACACUGUUUAGGGUCAGUUGUGGAAAGUUUUUUCGGUGCAAGAUGAGCUCGCGGCCUAUCAGCUUGUUGGUGGGGUAAUGGCGCUACCAAGGCGUCGACGGGUAGCCGGCCUGAGAGGGUGUACGGCCACAUUGGGACUGAGAUACGGCCCAGACUCCUACGGGAGGCAGCAGUGGGGAAUAUUGCACAAUGGGCGGAAGCCUGAUGCAGCGACGCCGCGUGGGGGAUGAAGGCCUUCGGGUUGUAAACUCCUUUCGACAGGGACGAAGCGUAAGUGACGGUACCUGUAUAAGAAGCACCGGCUAACUACGUGCCAGCAGCCCGGUAAUACGUAGGGUGCGAGCGUUGUCCGGAAUUACUGGGCGUAAAGAGCUCGUAGGUGGUUUGUCGCGUCGUCUGUGAAAUUCCGGGGCUUAACUCCGGGCGUGCAGGCGAUACGGGCUGACUUGAGUGCUGUAGGGGAGACUGGAAUUCCUGGUGUAGCGGUGAAAUGCGCAGAUAUCAGGAGGAACACCGAUGGCGAAGGCAGGUCUCUGGGCAGUAACUGACGCUGAGGAGCGAAAGCAUGGGUAGCGAACAGGAUUAGAUACCCUGGUAGUCCAUGCCGUAAACGGUGGGCGCUAGGUGUAGGGGGCUUCCACGUCUUCUGUGCCGUAGCUAACGCAUUAAGCGCCCCGCCUGGGGAGUACGCCGCAAGGCUA
rnacentral:rRNA from 1 species